GUCCUGCCUGCCACUUGCUAGCUCGGUGACCUCAACAAGUACUCAACUUCUCCAAAGCACACAUUCAUCACCCAGGAAACAGGGAUGAUCUCAGUUACCGCCUUCUAGGGGUGUGACAAAGACUCAGGGACAUGAGGACCAGAGUUCUGGGCCCAUGGCUGGCCUGUAGCACUCAACCUAGGAUGCCUCCUGAGACCAGAGAUGGUUCCAGUCCUUCUCUACUGGGGAGAGGCACUUUUGCUGAUGCCCUCUGUUGGCCUCUGCAGAGCCCCCCUUAGCCUCUGCCCUUCCCAACCGGGGAGGCUGCCAGGCACAGGCAAGGUCAGGGUCCCGGCCUUCCCUACCGACCCCAGCUGACAGGGCUCAGGCUAAAUUAAACUAAUUUAGCUUCAUGGAACCUAAGAAUGAAUGGAUGGCCCAGUGACCCCAAAGUGGCUGAAAUAAGAGAAUCAAAAAGCCCUCUGCACCGAGGGCAUAAUGGAAGAUGCUUCUGGGCC
rnacentral:lncRNA from 1 species